AGUGAACGCUGGCGGUAGGCCUAACACAUGCAAGUCGAACGGCAGCACAGGAGAGCUUGCUCUCUGGGUGGCGAGUGGCGGACGGGUGAGGAAUACAUCGGAAUCUACUCUGUCGUGGGGGAUAACGUAGGGAAACUUACGCUAAUACCGCAUACGACCUACGGGUGAAAGCAGGGGAUCUUCGGACCUCGCGCGAUUGAAUGAGCCGAUGUCGGAUUAGCUAGUUGGCGGGGUAAAGGCCCACCAAGGCGACUAUCCGUAGCUGGUCUGAGAGGAUGAGCAGCCACACUGGAACUGAGACACGGUCCAGACUCCUACGGGAGGCAGCAGUGGGGAAUAUUGGACAAUGGGCGCAAGCCUGAUCCAGCCAUACCGCGUGGGUGAAGAAGGCCUUCGGGUUGUAAAGCCCUCUUGUUGGGAAAGAAAUCCAGCUGGCUAAUACCCGGUUGGGAUGACGGUACCCAAAGAGUAAGCACCGGCUAACUUCGUGCCAGCCGCCGCAGUAA
rnacentral:rRNA from 1 species